UCUUUCUUUCACCUUCUAAAUUGAUUUCAGAUGGACUCAAGCUGAGAAGUUACCUGAACCUGCUAAUAGAACUUGAAAUGACAAAUUGUACGAUGGUAUAGGAAAAAGACUAGUUAGUAGAUUUGCCGCUUGCUUACUUCCAAGUUCCCAAAUUUAGCACUCAUUCAAUAACACCUCUUUACAAAUAUCAGGAGAUCAGCACAAAGAACUCCAUCUGACUAAUAAAUGUUGUAUCUAAAUCAAUUACUUGAACUUCAAUAAAUGUCCAAGGCAUACGAAAACUAGUCUUGUCUGGAUGGAACACAAAAAAAAACCUUUAUAGUGAUUUAAAUUUUCCAGGCCCUUGACAAGUAGACUUUCGCACAAUAACAUUCAACAAUCACCAAGAAUAAAUGAUUUCUAGUAACCAAAAACCCUGUAUUUUAAUUUUAAUAAUGAACUUUUAAAGAUUUACUCUCAAAACUUAAACCUAGUUUUCAUUUGACAGCUUAUCCUUGACUAUAAAAACACCCGACAGAAAACAAAUAUACUACUACAAUCAGGGGAAAUUAAUAACCUUGGUCCAAAAACUAAUUAACCCAGAAAAAAAAAGUUCCAUACUGAUUAUCAGCUUCUGGUUCCGGCAUUUUUUCCGGCAACCAAACAAAACCCAUAAGAAAUAUAACCCAGUCAGUAGAAAAUUAAAUCAAACCCACUUAAUCUUUUCGAUAAAACAAACAUAAUCACAAAAAAAGAACAGAGACAAAACCGCACCUCAUACUGAGUUCACAACCCGUGUAACCAGAAAGAUAGAAGCUCAGAUCCUGACUAUGAACACCACAUAUCCUUUUUACAUUGUAUAACCCAGAAAAUAUAGAGGUGAAGAGAUCGAAUAUGGAUGAGACGGGGGAAAAAGGAAGCUCUUCAAGUUCUUCUUCUCUGACGAAUUUAUGAGAGAAGAAUAGGAGAAUCGAUAAUAUAGAUAGGUAAGCUGAGAAAACUGAGAUUUUUACUCGAGAUUUUUGGAGUGAUAGCUGGUAAGUAUCAGGGGUUUUACUUGUGUGCGGAAAUUAUUUUGGGCUGUAAAAUGUAGCAUUCAUUGCCAAGNNN
rnacentral:lncRNA from 1 species